CAUAGUCUUUACAGAUUUGACUAUACUGCAGUCAUUUUAACUGUAGAGGGAAGUUCCCAGUGAUACAGGCUCAGGACAUUAUUAACACCAGUUCAGCAGCUGGACACUGAUGAAGAUGAAGGCUUUAGUGUUGGUGAACUCAAGCCAACAGAAACAAAACACUGGUACAAGUUCACAAACACACGCAGACCUUUACAAAGACAGCUGUUCACGAAGACAAUCAUCAAAUAUCUGAGUCCGCAUCACAAGUCAGGUGUGUUUCUUAUUUAUUUGUUUUUAGAAGUAUAGAACUGCAAUGAGCAAGAAAUGAGCGUUGAAUGUACAGGUCCUUUAUCUGCAGAAUCUGACGAUGGGAUCACAUGACACUGACAACCACAACAACAGUGAAGAUACAAAUCACUUUGUGUCUGAUGAAAUCCUGGAUGAGUGGCCUCUAGAUGACAAAGUUCCUGUACUUGACACAGACUCAGAGGAUGAGUUAGAAAAUGACCAAAUUUCAUUGUCAGAUAGCUUGUCCAACUGGGCUUUUCAGUAUGGUAGAACAUUGGUU